rnacentral:rRNA from 1 species
UGGGGAAUAUUGCACAAUGGGCGCAAGCCUGAUGCAGCGACGCCGCGUGAGGGAUGACGGCCUUCGGGUUGUAAACCUCUUUCAGUAGGGAAGAAGCGAAAGUGACGGUACCUGCAGAAGAAGCGCCGGCUAACUACGUGCCAGCAGCCGCGGUAAUACGUAGGGCGCAAGCGUUAUCCGGAAUUAUUGGGCGUAAAGCGCUCGUAGGCGGUUUGUCGCGUCUGCCGUGAAAGUCCGGGGCUCAACUCCGGAUCUGCGGUGGGUACGGGCAGACUAGAGUGAUGUAGGGGAGACUGGAAUUCCGGGUGUAGCGGUGAAAUGCGCAGAUAUCAGGAGGAACACCGAUGGCGAAGGCAGGUCUCUGGGCAUUAACUGACGCUGAGGAGCGAAAGCAUGGGGAGCGAACA